rnacentral:rRNA from 1 species
UGAGGAAUAUUGGUCAAUGGACGCAAGUCUGAACCAGCCAUGCCGCGUGCAGGAAGACGGCUCUAUGAGUUGUAAACUGCUUUUGUACGAGGGUAAACUUAGAUACGCGUAUCUAACUGAAAGUAUCGUACGAAUAAGGAUCGGCUAACUCCGUGCCAGCAGCCGCGGUAAUACGGAGGAUCCAAGCGUUAUCCGGAUUUAUUGGGUUUAAAGGGUGCGUAGGCGGCGGUGCAAGUCAGCGGUAAAAGCCCGGGGCUCAACCCGCGAGCGUUGAAACUGCAGUGCUAGAGAAGGCGAGAGGUACGCGGAAUGCGCAGUGUAGCGGUGAGAUGCUUAGAUAUUGCGCAGAACUCCGAUUGCGAAGGCAGCGUACUGGCGCCCGACUGACGCUGAGGCACGAAAGCGUGGGGAAUCGGAACAGGAUUAGAUACC